AAAGUCGUAACAAGGUUUCCGUAGGUGAACCUGCGGAAGGAUCAUUGCCAAAAGAAUAAGAGGCAAAUUUAUUUGCUUUUUGUUAUCAUUCGCGCUUGUUUUGUUUGACAAAUAAAAUUGAAUUAAAAUAAUGACAACUUUUAACAAUGGAUCUCUUGGCUCUU
rnacentral:misc_RNA from 1 species